AGAGUUUGAUCAUGGCUCAGGACGAACGCUGGCGGCGCGCUUAACACAUGCAAGUCGAGCGAGAACCAGGGCUUCGGCCCCGGGGACAGCGGCGAACGGGUGAGUAACACGUGGAUAACCUGCCCUCGGCACCGGGAUAGCCCGGGGAAACCCGGAUUAAUACCGGAUGGCCCUUCCGGCUCUCGAGCCGGUCGGAAAAGGUAGCUUCGGCCUCCGGCCGAGGAUGGGUCCGCGGCGGAUUAGCUCGUUGGUGGGGUAACGGCCUACCAAGGCUCCGAUCCGUAGCUGGUCUGAGAGGACGAUCAGCCACACUGGGACUGAGACACGGCCCAGACUCCUACGGGAGGCAGCAGUGGGGAAUCUUGCGCAAUGGGCGAAAGCCUGACGCAGCGACGCCGCGUGAGGGAGGAAGGCCUUCGGGUUGUAAACCUCUUUCAGGAGGGACGAAGCUACUCGGGUGAAUAGCCCAGAGGGUGACGGUACCUCCAGAAGAAGCCCCGGCUAACUACGUGCCAGCAGCCGCGGUAAUACGUAGGGGGCAAGCGUUGUCCGGAUUUACUGGGCGUAAAGCGCGUGUAGGCGGCCACGCAGGUCCGUUGUGAAAACUGGAGGCUUAACCUCCAGACGUCGACGGAAACCGUGUGGCUAGAGUCCGGAAGAGGAGAGUGGAAUUCCUGGUGUAGCGGUGAAAUGCGCAGAUAUCAGGAAGAACACCAAUGGCGAAGGCAGCUCUCUGGGACGGUACUGACGCUGAGACGCGAAAGCGUGGGGAGCGAACAGGAUUAGAUACCCUGGUAGUCCACGCCGUAAACGAUGGGUGCUAGGUGUGGGAGGUGUCGACUCCUUCCGUGCCGUAGCUAACGCAUUAAGCACCCCGCCUGGGGAGUACGGCCGCAAGGCUAAAACUCAAAGGAAUUGACGGGGCCCCGCACAAGCAGCGGGAGCAUGUGGGUUUAAUUCGAUGCAACGCGAAGAACCUUUACCAGGGCUUGACAUGCACUGGAAAAUCCGUAGAAUACGUCCCUCCUUCGGACCAGUGCAACAGGUGGUGCAUGGCUGUCGUCAGCCUCGGUGUUCGUG
rnacentral:rRNA from 1 species